UGUGCGCAUGCACCAAUGGCCAGGGGGAGCGCUGCGGGGCCAGCAGAGCAUGGUGCAGUGGAGUCUCCGGCCCCCGGACUGCCAUCUCUGUGAGAAGCCGGUGACAAGCAGGAGCAGCAGAGCUAGCAGAGCUUGGUGCAGCGGAGUCUCCGGCCCCCGGGCUGGCUGCGCUGUGAGCAGCCGGUGACACGCUGGAGUAAUGGGAUCUCGGAUCUCGGAUUUCUCCAGGCACUCCCGGGAGAAGCUGCUGCAGCAGAGGGGGAAGAUGUUCACUAAGCUGACGCCCAUCCUGCAGCAGGCGGUAGAGACGGACUGUGCUGGAGGUGUUCGUUUGGAGUGGAAACUACUAUACCUAUCCUUUUGUAACCAUCAAGCAUAAAAUAUACAGCAAUUAUCAUCUGAAAGUAUUGCGCUGGAGGAAGUUGGCGAAGUAGAGCUUGUGACCAUUACGCUUACUGUGCUGGAGGAUAUGGAGGAGUAUAAAUAAAGUUUUCCUGUUCUUGCAUUAUGA